GACGGAGGAUGCAAGUGUUAUCCGGAAUCACUGGGCGUAAAGCGUCUGUAGGUGGUUUAAUAAGUCAACUGUUAAAUCUUGAGGCUCAACUUCAAAAUCGCAGUCGAAACUAUUAGACUAGAGUGUGGUAGGGGAGACUGGAAUUCCUGGUGUAGCGGUGGAAUGCGCAGAUAUCAGGAGGAACACCGAUGGCGAAGGCAGGUCUCUGGGCCAUUACUGACGCUGAGAAGCGAAAGCAUGGGGAGCGAACAGG
rnacentral:rRNA from 1 species